GGCGUGCUUAACACAUGCAAGUCGAACGGAUCAGGGGAGCUUGCUUUUCUGGUUAGUGGCGAACGGGUGAGUAACACGUGAGUAACCUGCCCUUCACUCUGGGAUAACUCCGGGAAACCGGGGCUAAUACUGGAUAUGACCUACUCGGGCAUCCGAAGUGGGUGGAAAGAUUUAUUGGUGGGGGAUGGACUCGCGGCCUAUCAGCUUGUUGGUGAGGUAAUGGCUUACCAAGGCGACGACGGGUAGCCGGCCUGAGAGGGCGAUCGGCCACACUGGGACUGAGACACGGCCCAGACUCCUACGGGAGGCAGCAGUGGGGAAUAUUGCACAAUGGGCGAAAGCCUGAUGCAGCGACGCCGCGUGAGGGAUGAGGGCCUUCGGGUUGUAAACCUCUUUCAGCAGGGAAGAAGCGGCCGGGUUUUCUUGGUUGUGACGGUACCUGCAGAAGAAGCACCGGCUAACUACGUGCCAGCAGCCGCGGUAAUACGUAGGGUGCGAGCGUUGUCCGGAAUUAUUGGGCGUAAAGAGCUUGUAGGCGGUUUGUCGCGUCUGCUGUGAAAUUUCGGGGCUCAACCCCGAACUUGCAGUGGGUACGGGCAGACUAGAGUGUGGUAGGGGAGACUGGAAUUCCUGGUGUAGCGGUGAAAUGCGCAGAUAUCAGGAGGAACACCGAUGGCGAAGGCAGGUCUCUGGGCCACUACUGACGCUGAGAAGCAAAGC
rnacentral:rRNA from 1 species